GCUCCCGGGGGGUCCCGGGGGGGUCUCGGGGGGCUCCUGGAGCCUCCGGGGCUGCGGCGUCGCCUGCCUGGUCCGGGACAGCCCCCGGCGCUCCUACUUCAUCCGCAUCUUCCGCCUGCCCGCCGGGGAGCUGUGGUGGGAGCAGGAGCUGCAGGGGGGGAUGGGCUACAAGACCCCCACCCCCUUUUUCCACACCUUCGUCAGCCACGAGGGGUGGGCGGGGCUGAACUUCGCCUCCGAGGCCGAGGCUGCGACAUUCGAGGGCCGAGUGCAGGAGAGGCUGCGGCGGCGGCAGC